rnacentral:ribozyme from 13 species
AAAAAGUUUUGAAAAAGAAACAAAAAAAAGAAAGAGAAAAUUUGUUCUUUAAAUUUUUCUUUCAUUUCAUCUUUUUAUCUUCCUUUGUUUGUGUUGUUUUUAUCCUCUCCUGUUU